GCCUUCGUGGUGUAGUGGUCAGCACUCUUGACCCAUAACCAAGAGGUCCAUGGUUCGAUUCCCGGCGAAGUCG
rfam:Stegodyphus mimosarum contig102385, whole genome shotgun sequence.